CCUCUAUGCAUGUGUUGACUCCUCUACACUAGUGUGUUAUGUUGCCCUAUGAAUACUUUGGAACCACUUUGUUGGCCUUUGAAUACAUUGGAACCACCUCAUUUUACCAGAAAAUGGUCCUAUUUUCUCUGUUAUUGGUACACAAGUAAAUCAUCAUAUUUACCACUUAAUUAUCUGGUUAGAAAGCUACCUCUUAGGAUGUGGUACACUAUUAGAUGAGGAUGCAGAUCAUGUUUCAUCAGGGUAUGUAAUUUCUUGGUACUCUUGUUUGAAUCAAAAGUAAUAUUCAUGUGAGUUGCAGGGAAGACUUGGCCAGGUCUGUAGAGGUAGGC
rnacentral:lncRNA from 1 species